rnacentral:snRNA from 1 species
ACUCAUACCUUGCAGGGGAAAUACCAUGUCAUAAAAGUGGUUUUCCCAGGAGAAGGCUUAUCCAUUGCACUUUGGGUGUAUUGCUGAUCCCUAUGAUUUCCCCAAAUGUAGGGAACUCAACUGCAUAAUUUGCGUGAUUUCC